rnacentral:rRNA from 1 species
GACGAACGCUGGCGGCGUGCCUAAUACAUGCAAGUAGAACGCUGAAGGAGGAGCUUGCUUCUCUGGAUGAGUUGCGAACGGGUGAGUAACGCGUAGGUAACCUGCCUGGUAGCGGGGGAUAACUAUUGGAAACGAUAGCUAAUACCGCAUAAUAGCAGUUGUUGCAUGACAACUGUUUGAAAGGUGCAAUUGCACCACUACCAGAUGGACCUGCGUUGUAUUAGCUAGUUGGUGGGGUAACGGCUCACCAAGGCGACGAUACAUAGCCGACCUGAGAGGGGGAUCGGCCACACUGGGACUGAGACACGGCCCAGACUCCUACGGGAGGCAGCAGUAGGGAAUCUUCGGCAAUGGACGGAAGUCUGACCGAGCAACGCCGCGUGAGUGAAGAAGGUUUUCGGAUCGUAAAGCUCUGUUGUAAGAGAAGAACGAGUGUGAGAGUGGAAAGUUCACACUGUGACGGUAGCUUACCAGAAAGGGACGGCUAACUACGUG